UACGAAGGGGGCUAGCGUUGCUCGGAAUCACUGGGCGUAAAGGGUGCGUAGGCGGGUCUUUAAGUCAGGGGUGAAAUCCUGGAGCUCAACUCCAGAACUGCCCUUGAUACUGGCGGUCUCGAGUCCGGGAGAGGUGAGUGGAACUGCGAGUGUAGAGGUGAAAUUCGUAGAUAUUCGCAAGAACACCAGUGGCGAAGGCGGCUCACUGCCCCGGUACUGACGCUGAGGUGCGAAAGCGUGGGGAGCAAACAGG
rnacentral:rRNA from 1 species